rnacentral:rRNA from 1 species
GAUGAACGCUGGCGGCGUGCCUAAUACAUGCAAGUCGAACGGAAAGGCCCUGCUUUUGUGGGGCUCUCGAGUGGCGAACGGGUGAGUAACACGCGAGUAACCUGCCCCUGUCUUUGGGAUAACUUCAGGAAACUGGGGCUAAUAUCGGAUAGGAGCUCCUGCUGCAUGGUGGGGGUUGGAAAGUUUCGGCGGUUGGGGAUGGGCUCGCGGGUUACCCGCUUGUUUGGGGAGUAGUGGCUUUCCAAGGCUUUGAAGGGUACCCGGCCUCAGAGGGUGACCGGCGACAUUGGGACUGAGAGACGGCCCAGGCUCCUACGGGAGGCAGCAGUGGGGAAUAUUGCACAAUGGGCGGAAGCCUGAUGCAGCAGCGCCGCGCGCGGGAUGACGGCCUUCGGGUUGUAAACCGCUUUCGCCUGUGACGAAGCGUGAGUGACGGUAAUGGGUAAAGAAGCACCGGCUAACUACGUG